CAGGCUCGAUGGUUAUGCAAAGAUAUAUCAUGUAUACAGCUACCAUUGGUCAUGUUGAGUUCAGUUGAGUAUACAGGUAGUCAGUCUAGAUUGCUUCAGAAUCUGAUUCUCAGAGCAUUCGAGUAGUCACAACUAAUCAUCUAGCUGUAUACAAGGGUGUGUGUACCAUGGAGGCCAUGUGGUUGCUGUAGAGUCCUUGGAGAAGUGAACCCAGUCCUGGUUGGUAAUAUCCCUCUUGCACUUAGGUGGUUGACGGUCUUGAAGGACGCUAAGAUAUCAUCUCUGAAAACCCCACCAUGAAUGUCUGCUUUGAUUUGCUGCUGCAGGACUGCAUAUACACUGCGUAUUCUCCCACA